GUGAACGCUGGCGGCAGGCCUAACACAUGCAAGUCGAACGGCAGCACAAGAGAGCUUGCUCUCUGGGUGGCGAGUGGCGGACGGGUGAGGAAUGCAUCGGAAUCUGCCCAUUUGUGGGGGAUAACCUCGGGAAACCGGGACUAAUACCGCAUACGACCUACGGGUGAAAGCAGGGGAUCUUCGGACCUUGCGCCGAUGGAUGAGCCGAUGCCGGAUUAGCUAGUUGGAGGGGUAAAGGCCCACCAAGGCGACGAUCCGUAGCUGGUCUGAGAGGAUGAUCAGCCACACUGGGACUGAGACACGGCCCAGACUCCUACGGGAGGCAGCAGUGGGGAAUAUUGGACAAUGGGCGCAAGCCUGAUCCAGCCAUGCCGCGUGUGUGAAGAAGGCCUUCGGGUUGUAAAGCACUUUUGUUGGGAAAGAAAAGCAGCCGGUUAAUACCCGGUUGUCAUGACGGUACCCAAAGAAUAAGCACCGGCUAACUUCGUG
rnacentral:rRNA from 1 species